AACGAACGCUGGCGGCAUGCCUAACACAUGCAAGUCGAACGAUCCCUUCGGGGAUAGUGGCGAACGGGUGCGUAACGCGUGGGAACCUGCCCUUAGGUUCGGAAUAACUCAGAGAAAUUUGAGCUAAUACCGGAUAAUGUCUUCGGACCAAAGAUUUAUCGCCGUUGGAUGGGCCCGCGUUGGAUUAGCUAGUUGGUGGGGUAAAGGCCUACCAAGGCGACGAUCCAUAGCUGGUCUGAGAGGAUGAUCAGCCACACUGGGACUGGGACACGGCCCAGACUCCUACGGGAGGGAGCAGUGGGGAAUAUUGGACAAUGGGCGAAAGCCUGAUCCAGCAAUGCCGCGUGAGUGAUGAAGGCCUUAGGGUUGUAAAGCUCUUUUACCCGGGAUGAUAAUGACGGUACCGGGAGAAUAAGCCCCGGCUAACUCCGUG
rnacentral:rRNA from 1 species